AACAAACGCUGGCGGCGUGCCUAAUACAUGCAAGUCGAACGGGGAAAGCUUUCGGGUGAGUACUAGUGGCGCACGGGUGAGUAACGCGUGGAUAAUCUGCCCUCGAAUGGGGAAUAACUAGUCGAAAGAUUAGCUAAUACCGCAUAAGACCACGACUACUGAGGUAGUUGGGGUCAAAGGAGCAAUUCGUUUGAGGAUGAGUCCGCGUAGGAUUAGCUAGUUGGUGAGGUAAUGGCUCACCAAGGCGAUGAUCUUUAACUGGUCUGAGAGGAUGAUCAGUCACACUGGAACUGAGACACGGUCCAGACUCCUACGGGAGGCAGCAGUAGGGAAUAUUGGACAAUGGGGGCAACCCUGAUCCAGCGACGCCGCGUGAGCGAUGAAGGCCUUCGGGUCGUAAAGCUCUGUUGUAAGGGAAAAAGUUCUGAUUGUACCUUACGAGAAAGGAUCGGCUAACUUCGUGCCAGCAGCCGCCGUAA
rnacentral:rRNA from 1 species